GUCAAGUGUGGUGGCACACACCUGUAGUCCCAGCUAGUAGAGGGCUAAGGUGGAUCACUUGGGCCCAGGAGUUCUGGGCUGGAGUGAGCUAUGCUGAUUGGGUGUCUGCGCUAAGUUUGACAUCAAAUAUGGCAGCCUCUUGGGAGGGGAGACGACUAGGUUGCCUAAGGAGGAGUGAACUGGCCCAGAUCAAAAAUGGAGCAGGUCACAACUCCCAUGCUGUGAUCAGUAGUGGGGUCGUGCCUGUGAAUAGCCACUGCGCUCCAGCCUGGCCAAUAUAAUGAGAUCCUGUCUCUU
ensembl:misc_RNA Metazoa_SRP Metazoan signal recognition particle RNA